GACGAACGCUGGCGGCGUGCCUAAUACAUGCAAGUAGAACGCUGAAGAGAGGAGCUUGCUCUUCUUGGAUGAGUUGCGAACGGGUGAGUAACGCGUAGGUAACCUGCCUUGUAGCGGGGGAUAACUAUUGGAAACGAUAGCUAAUACCGCAUAACAAUGGAUGACUCAUGUCAUUUAUUUGAAAGGGGCAAAUGCUCCACUACAAGAUGGACCUGCGUUGUAUUAGCUAGUAGGUGAGGUAACGGCUCACCUAGGCGACGAUACAUAGCCGACCUGAGAGGGUGAUCGGCCACACUGGGACUGAGACACGGCCCAGACUCCUACGGGAGGCAGCAGUAGGGAAUCUUCGGCAAUGGGGGCAACCCUGACCGAGCAACGCCGCGUGAGUGAAGAAGGUUUUCGGAUCGUAAAGCUCUGUUGCAAGUCAAGAACGAGUGUGAGAGUGGAAAGUUCACACUGUGACGGUAGCUUACCAGAAAGGGACGGCUAACUACGUGCCAGCAGCCGCAGUAA
rnacentral:rRNA from 1 species